AUUGAACGCUGGCGGCAGGCCUAACACAUGCAAGUCGAGCGAGCGGCGGACGGGUGAGUAAUGUCUGGGAAACUGCCUGAUGGAGGGGGAUAACUACUGGAAACGGUAGCUAAUACCGCAUACCAUCAGAAGUGCCCAGAUGGGAUUAGCUAGUAGGUGGGGUAAUGACUCACCUAGGCAACGAUCCCGAUCUGGUCUGAGAGGAUGACCAGCCACACUGGAACGUAUACACGGUCCAGACUCCUACGUGAGGCAGCAGGUGGGAAUAUUGCACAAUGGGCUGAAGCCUGAUGCAGCCAUGCCGCGUGUGUGAAGAAGGCCUUCGGGUUGUAAAGCACUUUCAGCGAGGAGGCGUUACUCGCAGAAGAAGCACCGGCUAACUCCGUGCCAGCAGCCGCGGUAAUAC
rnacentral:rRNA from 1 species